ACAAAAGAGAAGGAGAACUGAGAAGUAGGGGAGAGAAAGAGGCCAGUAACGAGGAAGAGUCGUCCUUUCCACCUAUCGAUCCCCAAGCAACGUCCAUACCCAUACCUCCCCUCGCGCCUCUCCUUCCCUCCGCC
rnacentral:ribozyme from 1 species